UACGUAGGGUGCGAGCGUUAAUCGGAAUUACUGGGCGUAAAGCGUGCGUAGGCGGUUCGUUAAGUGCGUCGUGAAAGCCCCGGGCUCAACCUGGGAACUGCAUUUGUGACUGCAAGGCUGGAGUACGGCAGAGGGGGAUGGAAUUCCGCGUGUAGCAGUGAAAUGCGUAGAUAUGCGGAGGAACACCGAUGGCGAAGGCAAUCCCCUGGGCCUGUACUGACGCUCAUGCACGAAAGCGUGGGGAGCAAACAGG
rnacentral:rRNA from 1 species